CAGAUUUCAUUUCGACUACCUGCUGAAAGGAAAUCCAGCAGACGAAAUUCAGAGCUCCUCGACCGCCUACAGCAUGAGAACCGACCGCUCGUGGCCACAGAAUCCUGCAGCUCUCCGGGGGCUGCAGUCCAGUGAAGCUAUCGAUCGGCAUGUCAGGGCAAAGAGCGCAUUUUCUAGCAGCCGCCAUGCCGACGAAGCCAGCGGAGACACGAGCGUUAUCUGUGGUGCAGACAGUGGCCUGGAGCAGACCUGAAAAAUCCCAGAGCUAGAGCUAGCACAGAGACGGAAUGCGGCACGAAGCCUCAACCUUCACCGCAGUUCUGCUGAAAACGAACAAAGCCAUCUUCUAGAAAUCUGCAGCUCGUGCUUCCUUGUGAAACAGAUCCCAAAGAACCAGAAGAGGUCAGGGAUAUUUCUGACGUGUGCGUUCUCCUAUCAAGGAAAUGAAAAUCUGGGUGGUCUGCAGCACACGAGGAAGGGAUUUGAAUCUCUCCGUGGAAACGCCGCCGGGAUGUCUGC